rnacentral:rRNA from 1 species
AACGAACGCUGGCGGCAGGCUUAACACAUGCAAGUCGAGCGCGUAGCAAUACGAGCGGCAGACGGGUGAGUAACGCGUGGGAAUCUACCGUACCCUACGGAAUAGCUCUGGGAAACUGGAGGUAAUACCGUAUACGCCCUAACGGGGAAAGAUUUAUCGGGGUAUGAUGAGCCCGCGUUGGAUUAGCUAGUUGGUGGGGUAAAGGCCUACCAAGGCGACGAUCCAUAGCUGGUCUGAGAGGAUGAUCAGCCACAUUGGGACUGAGACACGGCCCAAACUCCUACGGGAGGCAGCAGUGGGGAAUAUUGGACAAUGGGCGCAAGCCUGAUCCAGCCAUGCCGCGUGAGUGAUGAAGGUCUUAGGAUUGUAAAGCUCUUUCACCGAUGAAGAUAAUGACGGUAGUCGGAGAAGAAGCCCCGGCUAACUUCGUGCCAGCCGCCGCAGUAACAC